rnacentral:rRNA from 1 species
UACAGAGACUGCAAGCGUUAUUCGGAUUCACUGGGCGUAAAGGGCGCGUAGGCGGCUCAUGAAGGCUGUGGUGAAAGUCCGGGGCUCAACCUCGGAUCGGCCGUGGCGACUCGUGGGCUGGAGCACUGUAGAGGCGGGUGGAAUUCCGGGUGUAGCGGUGAAAUGCGCAGAUAUCAGGAGGAACACCGAUGGCGAAGGCAGCUCGCUGGGACGUGACUGACGCUGAGACGCGAAAGCGUGGGGAGCAAACAGG